AGUGAACGCUGGCGGUAGGCCUAACACAUGCAAGUCGAACGGCAGCACAGUAGGAGCUUGCUCUUACGGGUGGCGAGUGGCGGACGGGUGAGGAAUACAUCGGAAUCUACUUUUUCGUGGGGGAUAACGUAGGGAAACUUACGCUAAUACCGCAUACGACCUACGGAUGAAAGCAGGGGAUCUUCGGACCUUGCGCGAUUGAAUGAGCCGAUGUCGGAUUAGCUAGUUGGCGGGGUAAAGGCCCACCAAGGCGACGAUCCGUAGCUGGUCUGAGAGGAUGAUCAGCCACACUGGAACUGAGACACGGUCCAGACUCCUACGGGAGGCAGCAGUGGGGAAUAUUGGACAAUGGGCGCAAGCCUGAUCCAGCCAUACCGCGUGGGUGAAGAAGGCCUUCGGGUUGUAAAGCCCUUUUGUUGGGAAAGAAAAGCAGCAGGUUAAUACCCCGCUGUUCUGACGGUACCCAAAGAAUAAGCACCGGCUAACUUCGUG
rnacentral:rRNA from 1 species